AGGAACCGACCCACAGUACUCUCUAAGAUCUGUGGUUGAUCCCCCAAUGAUCCCCUUUGAUAAGCGGAGGUAAAGGAUGCUGCUUGCUGAGCUGCCUGCUACAAGGUGAAGGAUGUGUCUUCUACUGGAUGUUAUAAGCUUAUGCAGAGAUGUGGGAGGUGUUGGAAGACAGCGAGGCUGUGAUGCCACUGGAGACGUGGGAGAGAGCUGAAAACGCUAUUGAUGGGAGCUAAGGAAGAGAGGAAGAAAAGGAAGUGACAAAAACAGUGAUCUGAACCAUGAAAUAUCUCACUUUGUUACUUAAAAGAGAUUGUGUGAGUCAUAGGGAACCAUAAUUUUGUAAACAGCUGCAGUGAUUUCUGUAAUGCAGAGACCUAAUGAGGAACGGUGAGUCUAGCUUGGUUAGAACAACAACGCUGCAUUGCAACAUUCUGUGCUGAGUACUCUGAAAGUAUAAAGCAAUGGUCUGGAGUUUCGGGAGUCUGUAAUCUCCUAGAUGAUCUUUGGCAAAUCAUUUCACUUCGCACUGCUUCUGUUUCACCAUCUGUAAGACAUGCAGGACAAUAAAAAAGCCCAUUGAA